ensembl:lncRNA EFCAB10-AS1 EFCAB10 antisense RNA 1
GUAGACAGAAAAGUAAAAUGAACCCAUCGCCAACUUCAACUGUUAAAAUUUGUGGCCAAUUUCACUACAGCCCUAUCCACAUCAAUUUGUGAGGAACAAAGUUAAUCUUGUUUGUGCCCUAAUUGAAGAGGACUGACAAUUAACAGCAUAAACAAUAGCCCAAACCAUCUCAGUUGGUUCAUUUUAUGCAAUUCUGACUGAAAAGGUUAAGCAAACUUUCCACUCAAUCAGUGCCAAAACCAUUGCACCAGAUCAGCUGCAGACAAAAAAGCACAGCUUUCAAUGGAAAAUUUUAAACGUGGGAUCAAGAUCCUGAAGCAAUUCUUCAAAGAACUGUUAACAGGAGAUGAAACGUAGUUCUACAGUAUCAUCCCAAAGACAAACCCAAUCAAAGCAAUGGCUACCAAGAGGUGACAUGGUCCAGUCAAAGCACAAGUUGACCGGUCAAGAGCAAAGGUCAUGGCAACACUUUUUUGGGAUGCUCAAGGCAUUUUGCUUUUUGAAUUUUUGGAGUCCCAAAGAAUGAUAGCAUCUGCUUAUUAUGAGAAUGUUUUAAGAAAGUUAGCCAAAGCUUUAGUUAAAAAAAGCCCAGGAAAAUUUCACCAGAAAGUCCUUCUCUACCACCACAAUGCUCCUGCUCAUUCCUCUCAUGGAACAGGGCAAUUUUACAAGAGUUUCAAUGGGAAAUCAUUAGCAUCCACCUUACAGUCCUGAUUUAGCUCCUUUUGACUUUUUUGUUUCCUGAUCUUAAAAAAAAUCUUUAAAGGGCACCCAUUUUUCUUUAAUGAUAUAAAAAAGACUGCAUUGACAUGGUUAAAUUCCCAGAGCCCUCAGAGUUCUUUAGGGAUGGAUUAAAUGGCUGGUAUCGUUGUUUACAAAAGUAUCUUGAAUUUGAUAGAGCUUAUGUUGAGAAAUAAUUUUUAAUCUUUUAAUUCCAUUUUUCCAUGAACUUUUUGAAGUCCCCGUAUACAUACUUUUUCAUGGUGAGAACACUUAUAAUCUACUGUCAGCAAUUUUCAAAUAUAAAAUAUAUUAUUAACUGUAGUCACCAUGAUAUACAGUAGAUCUCUUGAACUUAUUCCUCUUUUGUCUGAAAUUUUGUAUGCUUUGGCCAACAUCUCCCCAAUCCCCCUGCCUUUCAGCUCUUGAGCAUCAUUUAACUCUUUUUAUGAGUUUGACUUUUUCAGAUUCCACAUAUAAUUAAGAUCAUGAGGUAUUCUUCUGUGCGUGAUUUACUUCACUUAAUGUUUUCUAGGUUCAUCCAUGUUGUUGCAAAUGACAGGAUGUCCGUCUUUUAAGACUGAAUAGUAUUUCAUUGUGUAUAUAUCACAUUUUCUUUAUCCAUUCAUCCAUGGACACUUAGGCUGAUUGUGUAUAGUGGCUAUUGUGAAUAGUGCUGCGAUGAAUACAAGUGCAGGUAUUUCUUCAACAUACUGAUUUCAUUUCCUGUGGAUAUAUACCCAGUGGUGGGAAUGCCAGAUAAGUUCUAUAUUUAAGUUUUUGAGAAACCACCAUAUUGUUUUCCAUAAUGGUUGUACUAAUUCACAAUCCCACCGGUAGUGUACAAGGGUUCCCUUUUCUCCACAUCCUUGCCAACACUUGAAAUCUUUCAUCUUUUGUUAGCGUUUUAGAGAUGGGGUCUCAUUAUGUUGCUCAGGCUGGUCUUGAACUCCUGGACCCAAGUGAUCCUCCUGCCUCGGCCUUCUGAGUAGCUGGGACUACAGGCAUGUGCCAUCGUGCUCAGCUCUCUUUUGUUUUUUGAUAACAGCCUUUCUAACAGGUGUGAGGUGAUAUCUCAUUGUGGUUCUAAUUUGCAUUCACCCGAUUAGUGAUAUUGAGCAUUUUUUCAUAUACCUGUAGGCCAUUUCUGUAUCUUCUAUGGAAAAAUGUCUAUCUAUGUCCUUUGCCCAUUAAAAAAAAAAUUUUUUUUUUUUUUUAACUAUUGAGGUCUGACAUGUUUUGGAUAUUAACCCCUUAUCAGACAUAUAGUUUGCAAAUAUAUUCUCCCAUUGCAUAGGUUGUCUCUUCACUCAGUUUAUGUUUUUAAAUCUUUUAAUUUAUAGGUUUCCACUGCAUCUUUUUCAUCCCUGGGAAUUUAUGUGUUGAAACCAGAAGUAGACUUUUAAAUCUAAUAUUGUGCCUUACUUGUACAAAUAGGCUCUAGCAAUAAAUAGGCUACUAAAGGCAGUCACAUUUUGUAUGAGGUCUUCUGUUUCUUCUUCCUGGACCAUAUAUCAAAUUCAGAAACUGGAAAAAGGCCAAGUUUGAAUUUCAACUCACUACAUUUCAUUUUAAGGCUUGAAUAAGUAAAUAAUGCUAAUGGAACUUGGUGUACCACUUUGAUGAAAAUCCAAACCAGGCUUAUUGUGUAUCCUUUAGGCUGCAUGGGAUGUUACAAUGUUUAUGUUUGGAGACUACAAUUUAUACUCUACCUGCUUUUAAAAAUGUUUUGAAAAUGAUCACAACAUAAAUAUAUAUAAUAAAGACAGAAUCUUUUUAAAUCAUGAAAGGAAGAGCCAAAUGUUACUAACCACCUAUGUUACAAUGUCAGCUGAUAUUAAAAACAAUUUUUCAAGGG